GGGUUGAUAGCUCAGCUGGUAGAGCAACUUGCCGUUAACAAGAAGGUCGUCAGUUCGAAUCUGGCUCAGCCCG
rnacentral:tRNA from 1 species